rnacentral:lncRNA from 1 species
CGGCUAAUAUGUGAAGAAAACUAGGUAUACUCACUCUAUUGUCAUAACCAAAAACAAGGAAUUAAAUGUUUGGCAUCAAGGUAAACAUCUAUUGGUUCACAAGAUGGACAAAUGUCCUAAAAGGGUGGGUAUGGGACCCAAAGGAGAAUAAUUAUUGGUACCAGGAAUAGUAUAUCACUAUAGGGAACAAACACUUUGAAACCAAAGAAGAACAUUAUAUUGGAUCCAUGAAGGAGUAAACUCUGAACCAAAGAGUAAAAGAGGUACAGACGAAGAUGUGGAGGAAACUAGGCAUAGCCACUCUAUUAUCAUUACUAGAAACAAAGGCAAUUAAGUGUUUGAUUCCAAAGCAAACAUCUCUUGGUUGAAAGGAAGGCAUUGGCUAUGGAAUCUAAAGGAUAAAGUGCUUGGUUUCAAAAAGAU